AACGAACGCUGGCGGCAGGCUUAACACAUGCAAGUCGAACGCCCCGCAAGGGGAGUGGCGCACGGGUGAGUAACGCGUGGGAAUAUGCCCUUCGGUUCGGAAUAACACAGGGAAACUUUUGCUAAUACCGGAUACGAUCUACGGAUGAAAGAUUUAUCGCCGAGGGAGUAGCCCGCGUAGGAUUAGCUAGUUGGUGAGGUAAUGGCUCACCAAGGCGACGAUCCUUAGAUGGUCUGAGAGGAUGAUCAGCCACACUGGUACUGGGACACGGCCCAGAAUCCUACGGGAGGCAGCAGUGGGGAAUAUUGGACAAUGGGGGAAACCCUGAUCCAGCCAUGCCGCGUGAGUGAUGAAGGCCUUAGGGUUGUAAAGCUCUUUCGCCAGGGAAGAUAAUGACGGUACCUGGAAAAGAAGCCACGGCUAACUACGUGCCAGCCGCCGCGGUAACAC
rnacentral:rRNA from 1 species